UUGAAGAGUUUGAUCAUGGCUCAGAUUGAACGCUGGCGGCAGGCCUAACACAUGCAAGUCGAGCGGUAGCACAGAGAGCUUGCUCUCGGGUGACGAGCGGCGGACGGGUGAGUAAUGUCUGGGAAACUGCCUGAUGGAGGGGGAUAACUACUGGAAACGGUAGCUAAUACCGCAUAACGUCGCAAGACCAAAGAGGGGGACCUUAGGGCCUCUUGCCAUCAGAUGUGCCCAGAUGGGAUUAGCUAGUAGGUGGGGUAACGGCUCACCUAGGCGACGAUCCCUAGCUGGUCUGAGAGGAUGACCAGCCACACUGGAACUGAGACACGGUCCAGACUCCUACGGGAGGCAGCAGUGGGGAAUAUUGCACAAUGGGCGCAAGCCUGAUGCAGCCAUGCCGCGUGUAUGAAGAAGGCCUUCGGGUUGUAAAGUACUUUCAGCGGGGAGGAAGGUGUUGUGGUUAAUAACCACAGCAAUUGACGUUACCCGCAGAAGAAGCACCGGCUAACUCCGUGCCAGCAGCCGCGGUAAUACGGAGGGUGCAAGCGUUAAUCGGAAUUACUGGGCGUAAAGCGCACGCAGGCGGUCUGUCAAGUCGGAUGUGAAAUCCCCGGGCUCAACCUGGGAACUGCAUUCGAAACUGGCAGGCUAGAGUCUUGUAGAGGGGGGUAGAAUUCCAGGUGUAGCGGUGAAAUGCGUAGAGAUCUGGAGGAAUACCGGUGGCGAAGGCGGCCCCCUGGACAAAGACUGACGCUCAGGUGCGAAAGCGUGGGGAGCAAACAGGAUUAGAUACCCUGGUAGUCCACGCCGUAAACGAUGUCGACUUGGAGGUUGUGCCCUUGAGGCGUGGCUUCCGGAGCUAACGCGUUAAGUCGACCGCCUGGGGAGUACGGCCGCAAGGUUAAAACUCAAAUGAAUUGACGGGGGCCCGCACAAGCGGUGGAGCAUGUGGUUUAAUUCGAUGCAACGCGAAGAACCUUACCUACUCUUGACAUCCAGAGAACUUUCCAGAGAUGGAUUGGUGCCUUCGGGAACUCUGAGACAGGUGCUGCAUGGCUGUCGUCAGCUCGUGUUGUGAAAUGUUGGGUUAAGUCCCGCAACGAGCGCAACCCUUAUCCUUUGUUGCCAGCGGUUCGGCCGGGAACUCAAAGGAGACUGCCAGUGAUAAACUGGAGGAAGGUGGGGAUGACGUCAAGUCAUCAUGGCCCUUACGAGUAGGGCUACACACGUGCUACAAUGGCGCAUACAAAGAGAAGCGACCUCGCGAGAGCAAGCGGACCUCAUAAAGUGCGUCGUAGUCCGGAUUGGAGUCUGCAACUCGACUCCAUGAAGUCGGAAUCGCUAGUAAUCGUAGAUCAGAAUGCUACGGUGAAUACGUUCCCGGGCCUUGUACACACCGCCCGUCACACCAUGGGAGUGGGUUGCAAAAGAAGUAGGUAGCUUAACCUUCGGGAGGGCGCUUACCACUUUGUGAUUCAUGACUGGGGUGAAGUCGUAACAAGGUAACCGUAGGGGAACCUGCGGUUGGAUCACCUCCUU
rnacentral:rRNA from 1 species